GAAAUGCGAUAAGUAAUGUGAAUUGCAGAAUUCAGUGAAUCAUCGAAUCUUUGAACGCACCUUGCGCUCCUUGGUAUUCCUUGGAGCAUGCCUGUUUGAGUAUCAUGAAAUCUUCAAAGUAAAAUCUUUUGUUAACUCAAUUGGUUUCUACUUUGGUAUUGGAGGUCUUUGCAGCUUCACACCUGCUCCUCUUUGUUCAUUAGCUGGAUCUCAGUGUUAUGCUUGGUUCCACUCGGCGUGAUAAGUUAUCUAUCGCUGAGGACACUGUAAAAGGUGGCCAAGGUAAAUGCAGAUGAACCGCUUCUAAUAGUCCAUUGACUUGGACAAUACUUUUAUGAUCUGAUCUCAAAUCAGGUAGGACUACCCGCUGAACUUAAGC
rnacentral:misc_RNA from 1 species